rnacentral:rRNA from 1 species
AUUGAACGCUGGCGGCAGGCCUAACACAUGCAAGUCGAGCGGAUGAGGAGAGCUUGCUCUCUGAUUUAGCGGCGGACGGGUGAGUAAUGCCUAGGAAUCUGCCUGGUAGUGGGGGAUAACGUUCCGAAAGGAACGCUAAUACCGCAUACGUCCUACGGGAGAAAGCAGGGGACCUUCGGGCCUUGCGCUAUCAGAUGAGCCUAGGUCGGAUUAGCUAGUUGGUGAGGUAAUGGCUCACCAAGGCGACGAUCCGUAACUGGUCUGAGAGGAUGAUCAGUCACAGUGGAACUGAGACACGGUCCAGACUCCUACGGGAGGCAGCAGUGGGGAAUAUUGGACAAUGGGCGAAAGCCUGAUCCAGCCAUGCCGCGUGUGUGAAGAAGGUCUUCGGAUUGUAAAGCACUUUAAGUUGGGAGGAAGGGUUGUAGAUUAAUACUCUGCAAUUUUGACGUUACCAACAGAAUAAGCACCGGCUAACUUCGUGCCAGCCGCCGCAGUAAAAC